rnacentral:rRNA from 1 species
UACAGAGGUCUCAAGCGUUGUUCGGAUUCAUUGGGCGUAAAGGGCGCGUAGGCGGCGCAACAAGUCACUUGUGAAAUCUCCGGGCUUAACCCGGAGCGGCCAAGUGAUACUGUCGUGCUAGAGUGCGGAAGGGGCUACUGGAAUUCUCGGUGUAGCGGUGAAAUGCGUAGAUAUCGAGAGGAACACCGGCGGCGAAGGCGGGUAGCUGGGCCGACACUGACGCUGAUGAGCGAAAGCCAGGGGAGCGAACGGG